rnacentral:rRNA from 1 species
UGGGGAAUUUUGGACAAUGGGGGAAACCCUGAUAUAGCCAUCCCGCGUGUGCGAUGAAGGCCUUUGGGUUGUAAAGCACUUUUGGCAGGAAAGAAACGUCAUGGGUUAAUACCCCGUGAAACUGACGGUACCUGCAGAAUAAGCACCGGCUAACUACGUGCCAGCAGCCGCGGUAAUACGUAGGGUGCAAGCGUUAAUCGGAAUUACUGGGCGUAAAGCGUGCGCAGGCGGUUCGGAAAGAAAGAUGUGAAAUCCCAGGGCUCAACUUUAGAACUGCAUUUUUAACUGGCGGGCUAGGGUGUGUCAGGGGGAGGUGGAAUUCCGAGUGUAGCAGUGAAAUGCGUAGAUAUGCGGAGGAACACCGAUGGCGAAGGCAGCCUCCUGGGAUAACGCUGACGCUCAUGCACGAAAGCGUGGGGAGCAAACAGG